AUUGAACGCUGGCGGCAGGCCUAACACAUGCAAGUCGAACGAGUGGCGGACGGGUGAGUAAUGUCUGGGAAACUGCCUGAUGGAGGGGGAUAACUACUGGAACCGGUAGCUAAUACCACAUACCAUCGGAUGUGCCCAGAGGGUAUUAGCUAGUAGGUUGGGUAAAGGCUCACCUAGGCGAAGAUCCCUAGCUGGUCUGAGAGGAUGACCGGCCACCCUGGAACUGAGACACGGUCCAGGUUCCUACGUGAGGCAUCAGUGGGGAAUAUUGCAAAAUGGGCGCAAGCCUGAUGCAGCCAUGCCGCGUGUAUGAAGAAGGCCUUAGGGUUGUAAAGUACUGUCAGCGGGGAGGCGUUACCCGAAGAAGAAUCACCGGCUAACUCCGUGCCAGCAGCCGCGGUAAUAG
rnacentral:rRNA from 1 species